CAGGCCUAACACAUGCAAGUCGAACGGUAGCACAGAGAGCUUGCUCUCGGGUGACGAGUGGCGGACGGGUGAGUAAUGUCUGGGAAACUGCCUGAUGGAGGGGGAUAACUACUGGAAACGGUAGCUAAUACCGCAUAACGUCGCCAGACCAAAGAGGGGGACCUUCGGGCCUCUUGCCAUCAGAUGUGCCCAGAUGGGAUUAGCUAGUAGGUGGGGUAACGGCUCACCUAGGCGACGAUCCCUAGCUGGUCUGAGAGGAUGACCAGCCACACUGGAACUGAGACACGGUCCAGACUCCUACGGGAGGCAGCAGUGGGGAAUAUUGCACAAUGGGCGCAAGCCUGAUGCAGCCAUGCCGCGUCUAUGAAGAAGGCCUCCGGGUUGUAAAGUACUUUCAGCGGGGAGGAAGGUGUUGUGGUUAAUAACCGCAGCAAUUGACGUUACCCGCAGAAGAAGCACCGGCUAACUCCGUGCCAGCAGCCGCGGUAAUACGGAGGGUGCAAGCGUUAAUCGGAAUUACUGGGCGUAAGGCGCACGCAGGCGGUCUGUCAAGUCGGAUGUGAAAUCCCCGGGCUCAACCUGGGAACUGCAUUCGAAACUGGCAGGCUAAAGUCUUGUAAAGGGGGGUAGAAUUCCAGGUGU
rnacentral:rRNA from 1 species